rnacentral:rRNA from 1 species
AACGUAGGACGCAAGCGUUAUCCGGAGUUACUGGGCGUAAAGCGCGGGCAGGCGGUCUUGCCAGUCUGAUGUGAAAUCUCCUCGCUCAACGGGGAGCAGCCAUUGGAAACUACAAGACUGGAGUCUGGCAGAGGUAGGCGGAAUUCCGGGUGGAGUGGUGAAAUGCGUAGAGAUCCGGAGGAACACCAGAGGCGAAGGCGGCCUACUGGGCCAGUACUGACGCUGAGCCGCGAAAGCCAGGGGAGCGAACAGG